CAACACAUCCACACAAGCUCCCAACUUGAGAGUGUCGAUGGGACACGUGUUCUUUGGUGGUGAUGGGGUUGGCACUGGUGUUGGUGGUGGUGGAGGAGGACAUGGUGUCUCAGUGGGUGGAGGAGGCUUAACUGGUACAACUGGGGUAGGUGUAGGUGUUGGUGGGCUUGGUGGUACAACAGGUGGUGAUGGUGGUGGCUUAACUGGUACAACUGGGGUAGGUGUUGGUGUUGGUGGGCUUGGUGGUACAACAGGUGGUGAUGGUGGUGGCUUAACUGGUACAACUGGGGGCUUGGGUACAUAGGGUGGUGGGGGUUGUACAACUGGGGGCUUGGGUACAUAUGGUGGUGGUGGUUGUACAACUGGGGGUUUGGGGAUGAAGGGUGGGUGCACAAUUGGGGGUUUAGGGAUAAAAGGUGGGUGCACGAUUGGGGGCUUGGGGAUGAAGGGUGGGUGCACAAUUGGGGGCUUGGGGAUGAAGGGUGGGUGCACAAUUGGGGGUUUAGGGAUGAAGGGUGGGUGCACAAUUGGGGGUUUAGGGAUGAAGGGUGGGUGCACAAUUGGGGGUUUAGGGAUGAAGGGUGGGUGCACAAUUGGGGGCUUGGGGAUGAAGGGUGGGUGCACAAUUGGGGGCUUGGGGUGGGGUGGUGGUUUGACAAUAGGAGGCUUGGGGAUGAAGGGAGGUCUCACAAUAGGUGGUUUGGGGACAGAAGGAGGUUUUGGUAUAUGGGGAGGAUAUACAAUGGGGGGUUUGGGGCCAUGAGGUGGCUUGGGUACAUGGGGUGGAUGAGGAUGAGGUGGCUUUGAUGGUGGCUUGGGAACAUAGGGAGGCUUUACAUGAGGGGGAUGGGGUGGUUUUGAUGGUGGUUUGGGAACAUAGGGAGGCUUUACAUGAGGAGGAAGAGGUGGUUUUGAUGGUGGUUUGGGAACAGAGGGAGGCUUUACAUGAGGGGGAUGAGGUGGGUGUUUAGGUGGUUUAGGGAUGAAGGGUGGCUUUACAUGAGGAGGCUGUUUGGGUGGCAAGUGUGGAGGGUAUGUUGGUGGUGGACAGUAGGAGUUAGCAAGAGAAGUGAGCAAACUACCCAAAUUCACAAUGAGGACUAAGAGCAAAGCCAGGGUAUAAUUCCCCAUGUUCAAAACUCCACAACCCUCAAAAGAGUUGGGUUGUUUAAGACCGGAUAUUGAAACCCAACACCAUGCAAAAGCCUUCUUAUAGAGAUAUGGUGAGACAAGUUGUGAGUGAGUAUGUACAUAAGAGAGAGAGAGAGAGAGAGAGAGAGAGAGAGAGAGAGAGAGAACACAAUCCUGUACCUUUCUUUGUGGUACCAACUAAAGAUAUAUAAAACUAUUAAUCUCUGUGCAUAAUUAAUUAAUUUGUCAAAUUGCCAAGAUGCACAUUGAAUUGAGGUCUCUCCAAACUCCAAACUUCAACUUGAUCAGUAUCAAAUUCACCACAAACAAAAGGGAGGAAUUGAGUCACUUUCUUCCUUUACAUUCAGAACCAAGUAGGGCACUGCAAUCACUGACUUAAACUGUAGACAAAAGUAUUCAGCUUUUAAGGAGAAAAGGAUCAAGAAAACGCGGUUUUGUGAUAGAGGCAAGUUUUAACAUGUAGUGAGAGCCUUGCAAGUGACUAUUCAACCCGUGAUUGAGGUUUUGAUGCCAAGCCACAUGUGAGGCUUUCAUUGACAACAUUUUCUUGCAUUAAAAAAUUCUAAGGGUACAAAAGAGGCCUUAGACUUUUUCUACUUAAAGCACAUGGUUUUUCCUUUUUUCAUUUUUUGGGGGUUUUCUCCCGAAUAGACGAGUCCAUUAAUGCUACAAUGUUUUAGUCUAAGAAAUAUUCCUAUAUGAAUAGACCGUACAAUUGUAUUUGAGUGUCGGUUAUCUUAAUUUAUUAUUUUUUAUAUAAACGAUAUUGUAUUUUAAUUUAAUCCAUACUAUAAAAAGAAUUAUUUAAAUUUAGAUACAAAAUAAAGAACACAUUUGUUCUAACUAACUUAAUUAAUCCUAUGUGUGCAAUUAUUUUUUACAAUUAAACAACUCGAUUUGAUGUAGGAAUUUUCCUUGUACAAUUUAACUUGCUCGCUUUGCAAUUUCAUUUCAAAAAAGUAUAUGCAUGGCCUAGCCAUCAUGUCUUUCAAAUCAACAGCUCAUCAUAGGGCAUCUUUUUAAAAUGAGGGUAAUGCUGGCUUCACAUGCAGCUGCACAAUAAUUUCAAGAAUUAUUAAUCGUACCUAGCAUUGUUAGCAAGACAUUUAGGGCUGUAAUUAUGUGAAAAGUGAUGUUCGCCGAAUCAAUUAUAUAAGGAGAACUUACUGCAAAACAACUCUGUGUGGAACCCAUCUACUUGUUCUUUGUUUUUUUUAGGUCUGAAGUCCAUCUACUUGUUCACUCCACGCCAUUGAAGUGUAGUCUAUCUAAAAUGGUAAGGGUGCCCUAGUUUAGGCGUAAGUACUAUGUGCAGGGUUUUGGGUUUUUCUUUGUAGACAAAAACCUAGAAGUAUCAUAUCUACAUUGUUCUGACUAUUAAAAAAUUAGACAAAGGGGUAAUGAUUAUGCCAAAAUGAAUUUCAACAUCACUUUCGACCGACAAAAUUUCAUUUGCUUAUAUCGAAGCUCGUAUUGAAAUUUAUUAAUUUUAACAAAGUUAGAAUAUGUCAUCUGUCACGUAAUUUGGUGAAUAAAUUUUAUCUUUCGGUGCCUCUACAAUAUUAAAGCAUCAAAUAGUGCAAAUCAUGACAUCUUAUUUCAACGUUCAUUAACAGACCUUCAUACAAUCAAGGCAUCGGAUGCAAGUAGGGUGGUAGAUUUUUUCCCCUUUUCAACCCAAUAAUAUGAGUUAAAACAAUUAUAUGUGGAACACAAUAACACCGCUUUAAUAAUUCUAUCUAAAAGGGUAUAUGCGACAGCUGGCCAAGAGGUAUAUUCCAUGUACACAAAAUGUUACUUUCAACUACAUGCCAAUAUUUCUACAGCGAAAAUUCCAAAUCAACAUGCAAAGGGAAAAUGAAAUGGGAUGUACUUGCUGUAGUGCCUGUUUGGAUAGAAAGAAAGGAAAAGAAAAGAAAAGAAAAUUCAUUUCUUGGAGAAACCAGAAAUUGAGUUUUUCGUCCUUAUUUUCGAAGUGUCGCAAUCAAGUUUUUUUGAUAUAUUGAUGAGUCAUCCAUUGUAGAAGAAAUGGCAUCCAUCAAAACCUGCCACCAUUAAAAUCCAUGCAAAUCCACUUGUUACAAUUAUAUGAAGUCACUUGUGCAAAGCGACAUAUGAAUUUAAAGGGCGAUAAAGCCGAUGUAAUAUAUGUAGGGUCAGGCUGAGACUACUUUGUCUCCAAAUCUUUAACCAAAUCUAAUUUAACACUAAUUAUUAUUGCUCACUACAUCAAGUAAGAAAGAUUAAUAGUAUUUUUCGGUGUGAAUGCAUAAACGUAUCUGUGGAUUCUUAUUAUUUCGAUGUGAGCUUACAGCUUAGCAUAUUAACCUCACUUCAUAUAAAAAUUAUCUCCAAUCCUGAGGUCUAACUUUAUAAAAAAAAAUGAAAAUGACUUUGUAGGUCCAAAUCAAAAUGCAACGUGCCGACAAACACGGACUUAGUCAAGUUGGUUAAAGUGAAUGUGCUAUUCUCACUUUGCAUUCGAUUUCAAAUUCCCCUCCUUAUGAUUUAGAUUAGAUCUAAGUAAAACAUUGCUUAUAUAUAAAAGCAAUAUGCAGCUGUAUGCAGAAGAUUUGGUUGAAUAAUUGCUCUAUAUAAAAUAAUAGGUAAAGUACCUUGAUUAUCUUUUUUCCAACAACCCUGUUCCCUAUAUCUGCCCAUUGUUUAUAUCAUAAUCAAUCAAUUAAUUGAUUAACAACACCAAAUUCUUGAUACCUUCAGCAAAGACACGAUAUUUUCUACCCAAUUUAGUUUGUCGUUUGAAGAAAAAGAAGAAGGAAAAAAAAAACAUUUAGUUUGUCAGAUCAUAUCUUAUAGCAUGAGUGUUAUAUUUAAAACUAUAUAAGAAGGGGCAAAAUUUGGACAUACUUGGAUCAACUGUAACAAUCAUGGCAGUCCCUCCAAAAUCACAAGUGCCACCGGCAGCCCUGGUGCUCUGCCAGUAGCUGUUGAAGGCGUACGAAGCGUGGGACAACAAUGUGUCUGGUUUAUAGCAGGACCCAUUGGGCUGGAUUGACUUGCAGUCUGCACCAGACCCACACGCAUAGUCCAGGGCCUCUUGGACUAUUGGGCCAGGCACGGCUGGCUUGGCCACACACCACACCGCGCCAGACUGUGGUGGCUUUUUUCGUGGAGGGCUUGUGGGCCCUGAUGGUGGAGGGUAAGCUACAGGUGGGGCCAAGGCUGGUGGGCCUGGGAUAGGCUUGGGUGGGGAUGGAGGAUUUUUGGGUGGGCCUGGAAUUGUGGUGGGUGGGCCAGGUGGGUGAGGGGUGGGCCCAUUUGCAGGUGGUGGUUUUGGGAUGGGUGAGCAAGUGGGUGCAGAAGAUGAAGGGGAGGAGGAAGAUGAAGGAGUAUUUGGUUGAGGUGGGUUUUGGGAAAAUGGUGGAUUUGCACAGUAUGGAGGAAGAGGAACAUUUCCAGGCAAGGGAAGUGGUGCCAGUGAAUCAAAGGGUGGGAAAGAGAAGGGAGGACUUACCUCUAGUGGCUUAACAUUUGAGGAAGGCAAUGGUAAAUCUAACUCUAAGUGAUUUAUUGCUUUCAGCUUCUUCUCUAAUUCUGUGUCUUGGGAUUUUAAGAAUUGUGCAAAAAUUCUUGCAUCUGCUCUAAAACAAAGUCACAUAAUAAGUUGUUAAAAUUGUUCAAGUAGUGUGUCUUUGGAAAACCCAAAUAAAUAAAUAAAUUCUUGCUUACCACAUAAAAUGGAGAAAGUUGUGAAUGAAAUGGAGAUGAUGGCCAAUCUCAUGUAAGACAUUGUGGGCUGCAUCUCUUGAAAAGCCAAUGUGAUUAAAGGCAAAAUACCCAGAAGAAGCUGACUGAAAAUUUUGUGCUUAUUUAAUUCAUCCCUCAAGCAAACACUUGGGAUAAGUAUAUAUAGGCAGAUGCUUAGGCAGGCCAGAGAUGUGUGGGAGUGGUAACAAAAGGCGGUGGCCAUAAAGGAAAAUUAUCAACAUAGAGAGACUAAAGGAGAUUCCUGUGUCACAACUUUGUAGCCUAAGACUCAAAAAUAGUGUAAGAUAUACAACAUGCAGAGGACAAAGGUGAGGGAGAGAGAGACUAGAGAGUGUUGGUUUUGGAGAGGUGUACAAGAAACUUUUCUCCCUUUUUGCAUCUUCCUUUGAAUAUAUUCUUGCUUGGCAGUGGAGAAAUAUGAACAGUGGAGUUUUCUGCACUUUUAUUUGCUUGCUUUCCACUCAAAGUGAAACAAACUUCCACUCUGUUAAAGUAUAAGAGAUUUAGCUGAGUUUGUUACUUAAAUUAUGAGCCUUUGGAUCACAGUCCAAAUGGACAGCUAGGAUGUAUUCUUAGGUGUAGUUGAUUUGUGCCAAGUGUAGCUAUCUCAUAGGGUAGUUAAUGAUUGGUUAGAUUUGCUGAUGUAAGAGAGAAUAUUCUUUUCUUUUACUGUUAUAUUGGUAUGCACAGAUUGUGCAUGACUAAGUGUGAGAAUACAAUCUGAUAUUUUCAUCUUCUUCUUCUCCACGUUUUCUCUCUACAUUUUACUAGAGCUCCAUUCACCUAUAAUCCAAAAACAUGGCAGAUCAUAGUCUGCAAAUGCUAACAUGGUAUCACUGAGCCAGGUUUGAUCGUUUAGCUGGGCGUUUGAAUCUGUGAAGGAAGUGAGCUGCGUUUUCUAUCAAAUCUUGCUCUCUGUGAAAUCUGUGUCUAACAUGGCAGGAUCUGGAGGUGGUGAGCUGCGUGCUCCAAUCUUCAAUGGUGAGAACUAUGAAUUCUGGAGCAUAAGGAUGAAAACCAUUUUCAAAUCUCAUGGGAUUUGGGAGCUGGUUGAGAGAGGAAUAGAAGGCUCAGAUUCGAAGGGAGCUGAUGAAUCUGAUACAAAACAAAAGGAAAAAGAGGAAUCAAGUGGUUCUGGGAAGAUGGCUAUAGCUGAGAUCCUGAUGAAGGAUGCUAAGGCCUUGGGGUUGAUUCAAGGAGCAGUAUCUGAGGUGAUCUUCCCCAGGAUUUCUCAUGAAGAAUCAUCUCAUGGAGCCUGGAACAUCCUGAAGCAGGAAUUUCAUGGUGAUAAGCAGGUAAGAAGUGUAAAACUGCAGGGACUUCGUAGAGAAUUUGAAUACACUAGAAUGAGAGAGGAUGAAUCUCUAUCUGCUUAUCUUACAAAGUUGUUUGAUCUAAUAAACCAAAUGAGAGGUUAUGGGGAAGAACUAUCUAGAGAAAGAAUUGUGCAGAAAAUGUUAAUUAGUCUGCUGCCUGGAUAUGAUCCAAUCUGUUCUGUGAUUGAACAUUCAAGGGAUCUAGAUGUAAUUGAGGUUCAAGAGGUGGUAGCCUCAUUGAAGAGCUUUGCUCAAAGGUUGGAAAGACAUCAUGAGAACAAAACUGAGAAGGCCUUUGCUAGUCUGAGUACAGAUACCAAAUCUGCUAAGGCCACUGGAAAUCAGAAUUCCAAGCAGCAGAAGACUUGGAAAGACAAAGGGAAGAAGUGGGAUAAUAAACCUACGGAUGGAACUAAAACUCCUUGCAAACAUUGUGGGAAAUUGCAUUAUGGAGAAUGUAGGUUCAAGGGCAAACCAAAGUGCUAUAACUGUGACAAGCUUGGUCACAUUGCCAAAGACUGCUAUAGCAAGAAACCUGAACAGCAGCAGCAGCUUCAGUUUGCUACUCAGGUUACUUCUUCACCAACCAUGUUCUAUGCUAACAAUGCAACUGAGAAAAGGUCCAUGGAAGAGGUAUGGUACUUGGACAGUGGGUGUAGUAACCACAUGACUGGCAGAGAAGAUGUUUUGAUUGAUAUUGAUAGGAAUGUGACUGCAAAAGUUGCUAUGGGAACAGGACAGUUGGUUGAUGUUAUUGGAAAAGGAAGCCUGAUGGUUCAAACUAAAAUGGGAAGGAAAUAUAUCAAGGAGGUGCUAUUGGUAUCUGGUCUCAAAGAGAACCUACUCAGCGUUGGACAAAUGAUGGAGCAUGGAUAUUUCCUAAUUUUUGGAGAUAAUAAGGCAGAAGUCUAUGAUGAUAGCUCUCUUUCAAAUCUAGUGGCUAGAGUGGAUAUGAAAGGAAAUAGAAGUUUUCCUUUGAAACUUCAAACAGAUUUACAUAUUGCUCUAACUGCAAGCAUUAACCAAUCAACCUUGCUUUGGCAUAGGAGAAUGGGGCACUUAAACUUGCAGAGUUUGAAACUGCUGCAGAAUGAAGACAUGGUGUUUGGUCUGCCAGAAAUCAAAAAUACAAAUGCAGUGUGUGAAGGCUGUACUUUUGGAAAACACUGCAGGAAGGCAUUUCCAAAAGAAGCAACCAGCAGAGCUACAUCUCCACUGGAAUUGGUACACACUGAUGUGUGUGGACCAAUGCAAACUGUUACCAAAGCAGAAAACAGGUAUUUCCUCACCUUUAUAGAUGACUGUACAAGAAUGUGCUGGAUCUAUUUCUUGAGAUGCAAAUCUGAGGUAUUCACAGUGUUUAAGAGGUUUAGAGCCACUGUUGAAUUGCAAAGUGGAUAUAAGGUGAAGAAACUAAGAAGUGAUAGGGGAGGAGAGUACACCUCUAAUGAGUUCAAUAAAUUCUGUGAUGAAAUGGGAAUGGAGAGGCAGCUUACAGUGGCAUACUCACCACAGCAGAAUGGUGUGGCUGAGAGGAAAAACAGAACCAUAGUGGAGAUGGCCAAGUGUAUGAUGAUUGAGAAGGGCAUGCCACUUGAGUUUUGGGCAGAAACUGUUAAUACUGCAGUGUAUAUUCUAAACCGAAGUCCAACUAAAGCUCUGGACAAGAAAACACCAUUUGAAGCCUAUAGUGGGAGAAAGCCAGGACUUAAACACUUAAGAGUGUUUGGAUCUUUGUGCUAUGCACAUGUUCCAAAUCCACAGAGGCAGAAACUGGAUUCAGCAAGCAACAGAUGUGUGUUUCUAGGAUAUGGCAGCUGUGAGAAAGGGUAUAGACUGUAUAACAUUGCCACUGAAAAGGUGAUUAUCUCAAGGGAUGUGGUAUUUAAUGAAGAAGCUAGCUGGGAUUGGAAUGCAAAGCAAGAAUGCAGUGUUUCAGUGCCAUUUACUGAAGUUGUGUCUGAAAAGGAGAAAGGGAGCAAUGACACAGCUGUGAAGCAAGCAGAACAUUCAGUUGAGAAUGAAUUGCUAACAGAAGACAAUGAAGAAAGAUCUGUGGUUGAUACAGGUACUCAAGAUAUUGACCACACUCCAUUGAGAUACAAAAGUCUUACAGAGAUCUAUGAAAGCUGCAACAUCUGCAUCAUUGAACCAGAAUCCUUUGAAGAAGCUGUCAAGGAUGCAGCAUGGCAAAAGGCAAUGGAAGCAGAACUUGAGAUGAUAGAAAAGAAUGAAACUUGGGAUUUGGUAAAAAGACCAUCUGAUAAACCUAUAGUUGGUGUCAAAUGGAUCUUUAAAGUCAAGCUAAAUCUGGAUGGUUCUGUUCAGAAAAACAAAGCAAGGCUAGUAGCUAAAGGCUACACUCAAAAGCCAGGAAUUGAUUUCAAUGAGACAUUUGCACCUGUUGCUCGGCUUGACACAGUUAGAACACUGAUUGCUCUGGCUGCUCAGAAAAGGUGGAAACUGUUUCAGCUUGAUGUAAAGUCAGCCUUCUUAAAUGGAGUGCUACAAGAGGAGGUGUAUGUGGAUCAACCUCCAGGAUUUGUGGUUCAAGGCAAGGAAGACAGAGUUUAUAGACUCAAGAAGGCUCUUUAUGGUCUCAAACAAGCUCCAAGAGCUUGGUAUGAAGAAAUUAAUUCAUACUUUGCUGCUGCAGGAUUUCAGAAAAGUCCUAGUGAGGCUACAUUAUAUGUGAAAGCUGCAGAAAGUGGAAUCCUAAUUGUUUCACUAUAUGUAGAUGAUAUCAUCUACACAGGAAGCUCUAAAGAAUUGGUGAUGAGUUUUAAAACUGAAAUGAUGAAGAGAUAUGAAAUGACAGAUCUGGGAUUGUUGCACCAUUUUCUGGGAUUGGGUGUGAUACAAGCUGAGUCCUACAUCUUCUUGCAUCAGAAGAAAUAUGCAAGAACACUGUUGGACAAGUUUGGUUUAAAGGACUGUAAAGCAGUGUCAACUCCACUUGCUAUGAAUGAGAAGUUAUCCAAGGAGGAUGGAAGUGAACAGGCUGAUGAAAAGCUGUACAGACAGAUUGUUGGAAGCUUACUAUAUCUGACUGCAACAAGGCCAGAUAUCAUGUUUGCUGCAAGUCUCUUAGCAAGAUACAUGCAUGGACCUACUAAGAAACAUAUGGGAACUGCUAAGAGAGUACUUAGAUACAUUCAAGGUACUCUAGACUAUGGCAUUGCAUAUGAGAAAGGAAAAGAGGCAAUGCUGGUUGGAUAUUGUGACAGUGAUUGGUCAGGCUGUGAAGAUGAUAUGAGGAGCACAUCUGGCUAUGCCUUUCACCUUGGAUCAGGUGUUUUCUCUUGGGCAUCUGUUAAGCAGAGCAGUGUAGCUCUAUCCACUGCAGAGGCAGAAUAUGUUAGUGCAGCUGAAGCUACAGCUCAAGCAGUCUGGUUAAGGUUUGUUCUAUCUGAUUUUGGUGAAGAACAAGUUGAGGCUACAACAAUCCUAUGUGACAACACUUCUGCAAUAGCAAUAACAAAGAAUCCUGUGCAUCAUCACAGGACAAGACACAUAAGCAGAAGGUUUCAUUUCAUCCGAGAUGCUUUGCAAAAUGGUGAGAUUGAUCUGCUAUACUGCAAAACUGAUGAGCAGAAUGCAGACAUCUUCACUAAGGCUUUGGCAAGGAAUAGGUUUGAAUAUCUAAGGAGCAAGCUUGGAAUUAUUUCAGCUAAACACUUAGAAGGGAGUGUUAAAGUAUAAGAGAUUUAGCUGAGUUUGUUACUUAAAUUAUGAGCCUUUGGAUCACAGUCCAAAUGGACAGCUAGGAUGUAUUCUUAGGUGUAGUUGAUUUGUGCCAAGUGUAGCUAUCUCAUAGGGUAGUUAAUGAUUGGUUAGAUUUGCUGAUGUAAGAGAGAAUAUUCUUUUCUUUUACUGUUAUAUUGGUAUGCACAGAUUGUGCAUGACUAAGUGUGAGAAUACAAUCUGAUAUUUUCAUCUUCUUCUUCUCCACGUUUUCUCUCUACAUUUUACUAGAGCUCCAUUCACCUAUAAUCCAAAAACAUGGCAGAUCAUAGUCUGCAAAUGCUAACACACUCUCUCUCUCUCUCUCUCUCUCUCUCUCUCUCUCUCUCUCUAUAUCAGGCUCUACAUUUCUCAGGAAGCUAUUAACUUGUUAUUAAAUGGUUCCUUGGGAUUAAUAUUCCAAAAUAGUUUGACAUCCUUUCCAGCCUUAGCAAUCAUAUUUCACACACUAAUGCAUGUUUUUCAGCUUGAUGUGGUAUUAGUUGACUUCAAUAUUACAGAACUCUUGGUUCAUGCUCAUCACUGAACCUGAAACCUAGGAGUUUUUGUUUGGGAAUGUAACCAGGAAGAUCAAAAUAUACCAAACUUGGGAACGAGAGAGGUGCAUAAAACUUUUGCUCAUCAUCAAAGCUAAAUGUGUCAUCGUAGUUUGAGCAUAUUUCUUACUCUCUAUAUAUUUCAUUGCAGACACACAAGACUUUCAGUUUUAACUAAGAACAACUAAAAAGCCCACAUGAACUCCUUUGCUAGAAUUUGCUGAAAAAGAAAUUGUAAUCUUCAUUAAGCAGGCUUACAUAGGUAAAUAAAUUGUGUAGCUCUUAUUCUUGUUAUUAACUGUUAAAUUAAAAUCUCCAUGUCAUCCUGUUUUUUUUUUUUUAACUGUUUGGCAACACCACUUUGCCAUCCAUAAACUAUAACUAUUCUUCUCCCUAAGGGAAUUUUAUUAGGAAAUUACCCAUCUGGUAUGUAAAUCAUGUUUCAGAGUUCACAUUUAAACACAACCUUUAAACUUGGACAAUAAAUUAUAGGACCGUUGCCAACAACCCGACGCCAUCUAUAACAAGUGUGGCUUGAACUGUUCUUGAAUUUAGAAAGCAAAUUUAAGAAGCUCCAUUACUUAGCAUGUAAGUUUUGUUUCCGAGUUCAAUUGGAAAAAAUUAUGCUAUCGUUGGCAACUGUCCCUUGCCAUCUAUAACAAUCCAGGCUUGAACUUUUGUUGAAUUUAGGAAGCAAUUUAAUUAGCUUCACUACUCAAAAUGCAAAGGAUGUUUUUAAAUUUCAAAUUCAAACAUUAGGAAGCAAUUGAAUAAAUUAUGUGGCUGUUGCAACGGUCCCCUGCCAUAUUCGAUAUCUACCAUGUUUAUCAUUUAUGACCUGAAAAGGCAUAACAGGGCAACUAAGCUGACUCUAGUAUAAAUCUGCUCAAUUGUUCAAGUUAUCCAUCAUAUUGUGUUUGCUAAACCACAGCCUUAUUCAGGACAAUAAGAAAUAUGGCUGCAGACCCUUCCCCAAGGAUGCUAAUCACUCAUAAGGGACCCUGUGUCCGCUACAUUGCUUGGACUCCACUCUUGAAUGGUUUCUGGAAGCUCAGCUUCACAGGUCAUUACAAGCACGAAUCGAAGACUACUUCAGUCGGCUGCAUUUCUGAGAGAUCACAAUGCUGUAUUUAAAGCUGCCUUUGCGCAACAUGUAGAAAUGGUCAGCAGCUUUACAAGGGCUCAGUCGACUGCAGUCAGCUGGGCCCUUGAAUUAGCUAAAGGUGAAGGUGUCGAUUACCUUGAAAUCGAAGGAAAUCAUCCGUUUGUGUUUCGGAUGAUGUGGGGCGACAUCACCAGAACUAGCUCUAUGAUCAGGGGCUUGUUAAUAAAUGCAGAUGUGAUUUAAGACAGAUUAGGAGUGUGAGGCUCCGACAUGUCAACAUGUAUGGUAAUUUGGCUGCGAACUUGCUUGCGAGAAUUUCUUUGCAGCCUCAACAAGAGAGGUCAUGGUUUGGUGACCCUCCGGAAGAAAUAAAUGGAAUUCUAGUGAGGGAUGUGAUCGGUCGUUGGAUCGCUUUCUCGGACCUAUGAGUGAGUCAUCAUUUGGAUGACACAGAAGGACUUCGUGGAUUUCUUUCUUCAAGGAAAAAUCUGUUAAGUUGCUUUUCUUUUUGGUUAAGUAGCAGUUUGCACAUCUUUUAUUUUCAGAAAUGAAAUAUUUUGGAUUAGUGAUGAUUGUGAAGCCCUUGAUUUUUCUAAUCUCUUCCUUAAAGAAUUAAGAUGUGUGAACAUGUAACUACUAAGAACAAAAGUCAUCUGCUUAAUCUCACAUUUCAUUUUCAUUUUCUUCCUUUGUAGUUUAAUUGUAUUCCCUGACCUUUCCGGUACUGACCAUGACCCCUAUCUAUCAAAACCAAGUUCAAAUAAGGGAGAAUUUUUAAGGAGAUAUAUUGAUGACCUUGGGUGGAAUUUUUUCUUAGUAAAACUUUUAUGUGGUUUUACUCAAUAAACAAGUUACUCGUUUUACUCGACUUGAAUUUUUGCCUAUUUUGUCUAGAAUCAAUUACGUUUGAUGAUGAAACCAAUUACCAAAUAGUUCUUAAUCUAGUGAUACUUCUCUUCUCAACAAGUUACAAGGAUUCCGAACUCAAUUUAAUCACCUGUAGAAAUUACUUUGUCGCUGACAUGCCCGUGUGCCUUCAAAUGUUGAGGUCCAUUAGAAAGUGACCGUGCCUUUUAUCAAUAACAAACCCACAUGCCCAACUUGACCAACAAAUAAUAUUUUAAUAAAGUAACCGGUGCCUUUUAAGAAUGUAUUGUGGGAUGAAUUAAUGAUCUACCACAAUUAAAUGCAUUUUCAAAUAGCGAAAUAUUACAACAUCGCAGAGAGGUAUUGCAUGAUCUACCACUCUAGUUAUUCUGUUGCUGCAGUGCAGUGCAAUGCAGGUGUACAACUUAUUGUUCAACAGAAAACACAAAAUAACUUAACUUGAACUAAGUCCAUAAUAUAAAAAAGAUGAAGAGGCCAUGGACUGGAAACUCUGGAUCCAGAUGAUGUAGGGAUCAAGGGGUGUAUGGCCUUGGAAUAAGAUACAGAGGAGCUUUCUUAUGGACUGUGAGUCCGAACACUUCGGUCAUGUUCAAUGUGUCAGCCAAUUUAGUACCACCACUAGGCAACUUCCAAUCGAACCAAAACAGUAGGUUGGCAAGCACAUAUUCAGCUGAAGCAACCGCAAAGGCCAGUCCGGGGCACACCCUUCUUCCACCACCAAACGGGAGGAGUUCGAACUCUUGACCUACCAAACCGAUGGAGUUCUGCUCAAACCUCUCUGGCAUAAACUCUUCUGGCUUGUCCCAGACUCUGCGGUCUGUUUGUAUUGCGAAUGCAUUCACAAACACUUGUGUUUUCGCAGGGAUGUCGUAACCUCCCAAUUUUACAUCUGCAGUUGUUUCACGAGGAAGUAAAAGAGGACCUGGAGGAUGAAGCCUUAGAUUUUCGGUGAUUACACAUGACAAGUACUUCAUUUCCUUGAUGUCACUCUCGUCUACAUAUCCCCUUUUCCCCGCCACUCUUCUUACUUCUUCUUGGACUUUCUUCAUCACCCGUGGAUUUUGCGAAAGCUCAGACAUUAACCAUAGCAUUGAUGUCCAACUAGUAUCACUUCCCCCAACAAACAUGUCCUAAAUCAUGAAAUUAAAUAGCCAAAUCAAUCUUCAUCCAUAUAUAUUUUUAUUAGAAAAUUAGACGUAAAACCAAAAGUAUUAGGGUUUAUCAAUGUGCGCGUGUGUGUGGGUAUGCUCGUGCCUGUUCAAGAUAAAGUAAGUGAAUGAGUAUAAUGCGAGUAUGUAAGCUAGAGAGGGGGGGAUAUAGACCUGCAUAAGUCCUUUGACAUUGAACUCAAAAUCGAGCGAGCCAUCCUCUUCAAGGUCGAGGAGUAAAUCCACAAUAUCCUUCUUACGAGGCUUACCAUCUUUCUGCGCUGCUUUAUGUUCGUCAAGCAACUUAUCAUAAAAUCCAUCCAAUUCACGUCGAAUUGAUUUCAAACGUGCAAUGUAGCCUCUGGCAUGGUCAACCCAUUUCAAAGAAGGGUAGAAAUCUCCAAAGCUGAAAGUCAUCAUCUGAACCAUCAACUCCUUUAUGACCUUUUCAAACCAAUUGUCUUCUUUGUCCUCAAACUUCUGUCCAAGAACGCACCUACAGAUGAUGUUGUUGGAGGUUGACACCAGCAGCGGCCCCAGAUUGAUGGGAGCCCCGUUUGUGCUGGCGGAGGCUUUGCGAAUCUUGCUGACCAGCUCUGCACAUUCUUCCACCCUUGCGUACUGAAACUGCUGCACUCUUUUCACGCUCAGAAGCUCAAGAACAACCACUUUUCGAGCUUUUCUCCAGUACUCCCCGUAAGGAGCAAACGCAACGUUAUAGCCGUUGAAGAACAAUAUAGUUGCAGCUGUAGUUUGAGGCCGGCCAGAGAAACCAAUGUCUUGGUUCUUCAUCAUGUCCUUGGCCAGUUCUGCAGAUGAAACUACCAGCGUUGGAAGUUUGCCAAAGUGCAUGAGCAUUAUAUCACCAUACUUCUUCGACAGAUCACGAAGAGAGCGGUGUGGGAAUUUGCCUAGCUGGUGAAGGUUCCCAAUCAGAGGCAGUGUUGGUGGGGAAGGUGGCAGUUCGUAGUUUUUCCCACUUGAAGAUGAUCUUGUAAGUGAUAACAAAAUGUAUGCAGAAAGCAGGAGAAGAGGAAGCAGGAAAAUAUUGCUCUGAAGCUGUUGCCACAUUUCAUUGAAAAGUGAUAAUGCAGCCAUUGUUCUACUUUUUGCCUUUUGCUUUUGGCUGCUCACAUUAAAUUAAUAUAUGUGCCCUUCUUCUUCUUCUUUGUAUAGAGAAGCUGGCAUUGCAACUUGCAUGCGCCUACAAGGUUAGUUGUGAUCAACUUGUGAUGUCCAUGCCCCCCAAUUAUUUAAUGGGAUGCUUCGAUAUGGGUUCAUUUUUGAGUUUGCACUAUGAAUUCAGUUUAUCUUUCUUUUGAUGUAGAAUUGGGUCCAGCUCAGGCCAGCCAAGUAUGCAAAGCCUUGGCCAUUGUACAGUCAAUCCUCUGAAUUUUAUUAAUUACUGCAAUCAAUAAAUUAAUAUCACAUCUCUACGAUUAAUCUCAAUUUAUUAAAUGCUUUCAAUCUUUGAAUACCUUAUGAUGAGGUAUAUAUGUCUUUGGGUGGUUUGAUUUACCUGCUUUGCAGGUUUGUGUAUACCUCUUUCAUAGGUAAUUUCAUAUCAUAUAUCUCCUCCAUAGGUAAUUAAUAUAUACUUCCUCCAUAGAUAAAUAGCAUUCAGAUGUAUACCUCCUCCAUAGGUAAUUUACCUAUCCAUACCUAAUUAACAUUCAUGUAUAUUCCUAGUCCAUAGAUAAUUAUACCUCCUCCAUAGGACUACAAGAAGAAAAAGAAGGAAGAAGAAAGAUUGUGGGAAAUUUAGUUAUUUAUUUAUUGUAUCAGGGCAUGUUUAUGGGAUUUUCAAAAUUAAAAUGGAUGGACAAGAAAAUAUUUUAUAAAUUCAAAUCAUAAUUAACUAAAAGGUCAAAUAUAGUAAUUAUUGGCCUAAGAUUAAUUUCUCACUCUUUUAUGAAUUGCAAUCAGAAUCAAUAGUUGUAUUAAUUAGCUAAUUAUUAUGAUAUAAAUCAAUCUUCCCAAUUUAAAUCAUAAGGCAUAAUUGGAACAUGAAAAUAAAUGUAAAAAUAAAAAAUAUAUAUGAUUACAUCAUAAAAUUAGAAAAGGAAUGUAAUCCUAUGUGGCAUUAGAAGAGGACUUGGAUUACUAAUAAUACGUGUGUGGAUUGCACCCAAAUUCUACCGGAGAAAUUAUAGAAUGAUAUGGUAGUACCAUGUCAGCGUAUAGUACUCCCAUUUAAAUACAGCCACAUGUCCAUUUUAGAAAAGAAAUUAAUUACGUUUCACAACUGGACUUUUUAGUUUAAUUCUUAACUUUGGAAAUAAAAUUAGAAAAGAAAAAUUAAAAAAAGAAUUUCCUAACAGCCAACUAUCUCCUAACCCAACAACAACCCUAAUCCCAACUACCUGCUAUGAUGGCCACCCCUCUCCUUCCACUAUCUUCACCCCUGAUACUAAUUGUAGACAAGGGAUUUUAGAGGAAGGAGGAUUAAACUGGUAUUGAUGAUGAUGAAAUGGAGUAGUCUUGAUAAUUAAAAAUUGGUUCGUUCUUGAGGGUCUAUAUCUGGGUCUGAAAAUAUUCCAAGGUGGCAGUGGGUUGAAUUAACAUUGUGUAGAGUGUCAUAAGCGAAUUCAAAAAAAAUAUAUAUAUAUAUAUAUAUAUAUAGGGGAAUUAAGGAAGAUGAUGAUAUUAUUGGGUUUGGAUGUUGAUGGUUUUCAUGAGGAGCGGCGAUGGCAGUGGUGAAUAGAAAGAGAGAGGGGAGGAAGAGGAAGAGAGAAGGGUGGCUGCCAUGGUUUUUCUUCGUUUAAGUUUUCUCUUUUUCUAAUUUUAUUUCAAAACUUAAGAAUUAAUAAAGUAAAAAGUCUAGCUGUAAAAUAAUAAUGAAUUUCUUUUAUAAAAUGGACACAUGGCCGUAUUUGAGUGGGAGUACUAUACGCUAAUGUGGUAGUACCAUAUUAUUCUAUAAUUUCUCUAUUAUUAAGAAUUGGACUUAUACCAAAUUAUUUAUUAUUUAAUUAUAUACAAUAUUGAGAGAACUUGUUAGGUUCGUAACUUCACGGCCCUCCUGAAAUGAAUGUUGGGAAAUUACAUAAUGCAUUAAUUGAGCCGUUUUUACCAAAAUAAGGUGUCUUCCAAUUUUAGGUUUUAGCCUAGUUUCUUGUAUAGUUUUGUCUUUUUUAUUUUUAUUUAGUUACGUGCUUCAAUUAUUUUAUUUUUUUAUUUAUAUAAAUGAUAUUGAGGGAGGGUUUUUUCACACAUUGUAAUAUAUUAUGAGAAUUCGAACCUGAGACCAUUGAUUUGCAAGUUAAUGUCAUUUUCCACUGGGUUAGAUCUCCCUAAACCCUAUAAUAAUAAUACUCAAUUUGCCAGCUCCUAUUUAUCAUGUUUUAAUCAAGAUGAUGCUUAUCCGUCGGCUUAUGUGCUUCAUAUCUUGAUUGCACAAAGGGACUUUUUUAUUAUACGAAAUAAGAUAAUUUUUUGUUUUAAAAGUCUUGCUAUUUUUUCUCGUACCUUUCUUUGUGGUACCAACUAAAGAUAUAUAAAACUAUUAAUCUCUGUGCAUAAUUAAUUAAUUUGUCAAAUUGUCAAGAUGCACAUUGAAUUGAGGUCUCUCCAAACUCCAACUUGAUCAGUGUCAAAUUCACCACAAUCAAAAGGGAGGAAUUGAGUCACUUUCUUCCUUUACAUUCAGAACCAAGUAGGGCACUGCAAUCACUGACUUAAUCUGUAGCCAAAAGUAUUCAGCUUUUAAGGAGAAAAGGAUCAAGAAAAUGCGAUUUUGUGAUAGAGGCAAGUUUUAACAUGGAUUGAGAUGCCAAACCACAUGUGAGGCUUUCACCAACAACAUUUUCUUGCAUUAAAAGAAUCUCUAUGGGGACAAAAGAGGCCUUAAGACUUUUUCUACUUAAAGCAUAUGGUUUUUCCAUAUGAAUAGACUAAGAACCAUUCCUAUAUGAAUAGACUCGUACAAUUGUAUUUGAGUGUCAGCUAUUUUAAUAUAUUAUUUUUUAUACAAGUGAUAUUCUACUUUAAUUUAAUCUAUAUUAUAAGAAGAGUGAUUUGAACUCAGAUGCAGAAUAAAAAGCAUAUUUUUUUUUUUUGCGAAAGAAGAGCAUAUUCAUUUUAGUCAACUUAACAAAGCCCAUAUGUGCAAUUAUUUUUCACAAUUAAACAACUCAAUUUGAGGUAGGAAUUUUCCUUAUACAAUUAAAUUGCUUGCUUUGCUGCAUGCAAUUUCAUUUCCAAAAAGUAUAUGCAUGGCCUAGCCAUUAUGUCUUUCAAAUCAACUGCUCAUCAUGGGGCAUCUUUUCAAGAAAUUAUUAAUCGUACCUAGCAUUGUCAGCAAGACGUUAGGGCUGUAAUUAUGUGAAGAGCGAUGUUUGCCAAAUCAAUUAUAUAGGGAGGACCUACUGCAAAACUACUUGUUCUUUGUUUUUUUAGGUCUGAAGUCCAUCUACUUGUUCAGUCCACGCCAAUGAAGUGUAGUCUAUCCAAAAUAGGAAGGGUGCUCCAGUUUAGACGCAAGUACUAUUUGUUUUUUUUUGGUCGAAAGGCGUAAGUACCAUGUGCAGGGUUUUGGGUUUUUCUUUGUAGACAAAAACAUUGAAGUAUCUAAAACAUAAUUGUUCUGACUAUUGAAAAAUUAGACAAAGGGGAAAUGAUUCUUAUGCCAAAAUGAAUUUCAACAUCACUUUCUACUGACAAAAUUUCAUUUGCUUGUAUCGAAGCUUUCAUUGAAAUUUAUUAAUUUUAACGAAAUUAGAAUAUGUCAUUUGUCACGUCAUUUGGUGAAUAAAAUUUAAAAAAAAUGUAGUAAGAUGCCAAGCCACAUAUAGGGAUGGCAACGGGUCGGGUAGGGGUUGGGUAUGACGAUACCAUCCCCGUUCUCGCUCUCCAUCCUCGCCCCUAUCCUUGAACCCAUUCCCGUUUAAUCGGUUUCGACGAAUCCCCAUCUCCGUCCUCAUCGGGGGACUAUCCCUCCUACCCGCCCCGAAUCCCUGAUUUUUUUUGCAUAAAAAAAAUAUUUAUCAUACAUUUUUACAUUAAAUUUUAUAUUAAAUUAUCAUUCAACACAUCCAAAUUAACUAUAAAGUUCAACUAAAAAUCACAUCAAUAUGAAAUUCCAAAGAAAAUUAGGAAGAAUUAUGGGAGGGAGGUUAACUUAGGGUUAAACAUAAAUAUUGUAAUUAUAUAUUUAUUUAUUUAAAUAUAAACAUAUAUAUUUUCGGUUCGGGUUCGGAGAUGGGGACGCCAAUACCAUCCCCUCCCCAUAUUCGUCGGGGAUUUUUCAAGUUCGGGGAUCUCCAUACCCGAUACUCGUUUGGUCUCGAAAUCUCCUCUCUUUUGGGUCGAUGAUAGGGAUGGCAACGGGUCGGGUAGGGGCUGGGUGUGAUAAUACCAUCUUCGUCCCCGCUCUUCAUCCCUGCCCCCGUCCUCGAAUUCAUCCCCGUGUAAUAGGUUUUGGGGAAUCCCUAUCCCCGUUCCAGUCGGGGGACUAUCCCCCAUACUCGCCCCAAAUCCCCAGAUUUUUUUUUUGCAUAAAAAAUAUUUAUCAUAUAUUUUAAUAUUAAAUUUCAUAUUAAAUUAUUAUUUAACACAUCCAAAUUAACUAUAAAGUUCAACUCAAUCAUUCAAAAUCACAUUAAUAUGAAAUCCCAAAGAAGAUUAGGAAGAAUUAGGAGAGGGAGGUUAACUUAGAGUUAAAUAUAAAUAUUAUAAUUAUAUAUUUAUUUAUUUAAAUAUAAACAUAUAUAUUUUCGGGUCGGGUUUGGAAAUGGAGACGCCAAUACCAUCCUCUUUCCAUACCCAUCGAGAAUUUUUCAAGUUCAGGGAUCCUGUACCCGAUACCCAUUUGGCCUCAAAAUCUCCCCCCAUUAGAAUUCGGGACCCACCCUGGCGGGGAUUUUUGCCAUCCCUAGCCACAUGUGAGGCUUUCACUAACAACGUUUUCUUGCAUUAAAAGAUUCUCUAUGGGGACAAAAGAAGCCUUAGACUUUUUCUACUUAAAGCAUAUGGUUUUUCCAUAUGAAUAGACUAAGAACCGUUCCUGUAUAAAUAGACUCGUGCAAUUGUAUUUGAGUGUCGGUUAUCUUAAUUUAUUAGUUUUUAUACAAGUGAUAUUCUACUUUAAUUUAAUCUAUAUCAUAAAAAAAGGGAUUUAAACUUGAAUGCAGAAUGGGAAGUACAUUCAUUUUAGCAAAUUUAACAAAGCUCAUAUGUGCAAUUAUUUUUUACAAUUAAACUACUCAAUUUGAUGUAGGAAUUUUCCUUAUACAAUUAAAUGCUUGCUUUGCUGCAUGCAAUUUCAUUUCAAAAAAGUAUAUGCACGGCGCAGCCAUCAUGUCUUUCAAAUCAACUUCUCACCAUAGGGCAUCUUUUCAAGAAAUUAUUAAUCGUACCUAGCAUUGUUAGCAAGACAUUAGGGCUGUAAUUAUGUGGAAAGUGAUGUUUGCCAAAUCAAUUAUAUAGGGAGGACCUACUGCAAAACGACUCUGUGUGAAACCCAUCUACUUGUUCUUUGCUUUUUUUUAGGUCUGAAGUCCAUCUACUUGUUCAGUCCACGCCAUUGUAGUCUAUCUAAAAUGGGAAGGGUGCCCCAGUUUAGGCGUAAGUACUUUUUGUUUUUUUUCGGUUGAAAGGCGUAAGUACUAUGUGCGGCGUUUUGGGUUUUUCUUUGUAGACAAAAAUAUUGAAGUAUCUAAAUCAUAAUUGUUUUGACUACUGAAAAAUGAAAAAUGCUAGCAACCUUCUUUCUAACAUUUUCUUUUGGACAUUUUCUUUUCUUUGCUUGACAUGUGUCAUUCUCCUUACACUUAAAACAAUGUCAUUAAUAUAUUAUACAAGCUAACUUUUGCUUUUCAAGUUUACCCUUAUUAAAUGUAUUUAAUUUAUUCAAAAAAAAUUCAGAACUUUCUUACAAUAUCUUAACAUUGAAGUAUCUAAAUCAUAAUUGUUUUGACUAUUGAAAAAUUAGACAAAGGGAAAAUGAUUCUUAUGCCAAAAUGAAUUUCAACAUCACUUUCGAUCGACAAAAUUUCAUUUGCUUAUAUCGAAGUUGGCAUUGAAAUUUAUUAAUUUUAAAAAAAUUAGAAUAUAUCAUCUGUCACGUCAUUUAGUGAAUAAAAUUUUUUAAAAAUCUUUCGGUGCCUCUAUAUUAUUAAGGCAUCAAAUAGUGCAAAUCAUGACAUCUUAUUUCAAUGUUCAUUAACAGACCUUCAUACAAUCAAGGCAUCGGAUGCAAGUAGGGUGGUCCCUUUCUCAACCCAAUAAUAUGAGUUCAAACAUUAUAUGUGGAACACAAUAACACUCCUUUUAAUCAUUCAAUCUAAAAGGGUAUAUGCGACAGCUGGCCAAGAGGUAUAUUCCAUGUACACAAAAUGUUACUUUCAAUUUCAACUACAUGCCAAUAUUUCUACAGCGAAAAUUCCAAUUAAACAUGCAAAAGGAAAAUGAAAUGUGAUGUGAUGUACUACCUAGGGCUCGUCAAUGAGCCGGGCUGGGUUAGCCAGGCCCAAAUUUAAUGGACUUGAGUCAGACCGGAAUUUUUUAGAAAAUUCAAAACCCAAGUCCGACCCAUGAACCGGACUUGAGAAAGUCCAUCGAACCAAGCCAAGCUAAGCCCAACAGGCAGGGCCUAAACAGGCCCUACUUCAUUAAAAAAAAUCGUAAACUUAAUCAUAAGGACAUUUUAGUCCAAAUUUGAGAUUAAACUCACUUAAUUCCAAUAUUUUCACAUCAAAUCAAAUUCAUAAAACACCCAAUAAAGUCAUACAACUUAUAAGAUUUUCCACAAAAAUAAUAAAACCAAGUAUUAUUUUUGAUGUUAUUACAUAAUUAGAUCGUAAUACGUUUUAAGAAAUAAUUUUAAAAAAUAAUAAGUAUCAAAAAAAUAUUUUUUUAAAGGAUGGUAUGAAUAAAUAUGCAAAUAUUUGGUGAUGUGUUCAAGAAAAGCAUGAUUAUAUUUGGUGGUACGAUUAUGUUUCGUGAUAUGAUUAUAUUUGGUGAUGUGAUAUGUUGUUCAUCUUAUUUAUAUAUAUAUAAUUGUUGAAUUAAUAAUUGACACAAAUUAAUGUGCUAAUCAUCCAAUUAUAAACUAGGAAUAAGUAAAUAAAAGUAAAUAAAAUGAAACAAAUUAUAUAUGUGAUUUAAGUGAUAUAAUCAUAAACCUAAACUCUUAAUUAUAUAUAAUUAUAUAUGUAUGCGGGCCUAACGGAUCGGGUUUUUGUGGGCGGGCCGGGUCGGGCUUUCUUGGGCUUAAUUGGACCGGGCCUAUGAGUCGGGCCGAGCUUUAGACACCCAAGCCCAAGCCUAGCCCGGCCUAAGGCGGGCCGGGCCAUCUCAAAGCUCAUAACGGGCCAGGCCGGGCUUUUUUUCGAUGGGCCGGGUGAGCCCCCAUCAGCCCAUGAGCCUGCGGGCCAAAUGAUGAGGCCUAGUACUACCUGUAGUGUCUAUUUGGAUAGAAAGAAGAAUAGAAAAUUCGGUAUAAGUCCAAUUCCUAUGAUAGAAUUUGGGUACAAUCCACAUAUUUGUUGUUAGUAAUUUAAGUCCUCUGACUUUUGUGCAAUGUAGGAUUACUUACCUCUUUUUUUUUUCAUUUCUAAGGUUUAUAUUUUAUUUUCUUAAUUUUUUAAUUUAUGUUGUGCUUCCAAUUUUGCCCCUAAGAUAGAAAUCAAGUAACCUAAAACAGUAAAAUAUCAAAAAUCGCGUUAAACAAUCCUCAUACGACAAGAAUAGAAAGAAUCGCAAAAAUCGUAUCUUUCACAAUCAAUUAUGGUCCUGUCAAGCCGUUUCUGUAAAUUUCAUGCUUCUUAAUUGCCGAGGGUUUUGGGUUUCAUUUUAGAGUUGAAUUUGCAUUUCGUCUUCUUCAAUUGCAGCCGGGGGAAUUUGCCGUCAUUUGGGGAUUCUCACCUUGCUUCUCCAUCAAUUGCAGUGCCUGUGUUCCAGGUACACUAUUAGAGGUUACCUAUGCCAUAGGUACACUGUUAGAGGUUGCCUUUAGCUGUGGAAUUAUGCUGCUAGAGAUGCAAUUAGCAAGGCUAAAACCAUGGAAAUAUGACUUCUAUGUACUAGCCAUAGCUGUUUGACUCGGCUAACCCAUUGCUUAUUCAUAUCAGCACGAUUAUUUAGAUAUCUAUGUCCAGUUCCCUUUUUAUACAUAUGACUUAUGUAAUGAGAAGUCUGCUAUUUGUAUUGUAGAUUAAUCUUAACUAAAAGCAUCUAAAAACCCAGCUGGAACAGCAGAAGUUCGCUCCUAACUAUUUCAUUUGGUGAUACAGUGUUUGAUGCAUGGUAUGUUAUAGGUUAUUUAUCAAAUUCAUAAAACUUUCUAAAUGUAGAAGCUUUAGAGGUGAUCGUGAUUGCGUGAAUUCAUUUGCUGUUUUUGGCUAGAGUUAUGAUUUGUACUAGCCCAAAUGUUUUGUGUGCAAAUGUCAUGAUCUGUACAUAUAUAUUGCAUUUAAUUUUUCCUCUCUCCCUCCUUCAUGUUAAUGACUUAAGAUUAUACUUGUGAGUUUUACAGUCAUGUUCUUGUUUUGUCCAAGCAGUUAUGUAAAUCUUCAUUUGUGCCUUCAUUAUUGUAGGGCCUUUUUCGUUCCGGCAACUACUGAUGGGUCUAGGAUGCUGUAAAGAGCCAAAUGUGUGAAAUUGUCCAGAGUCUAAGUUUAAGAAUCAGACCGUAAGAGUGCUUCGAAAAGGUAGCUGAGCCUUAGGAAACACCUUGGUCUUCUUCACCAAUGAAACCAACAGUUGCUUACAGAUAAAUUCUUGGCUUAGCUUGAGAAGCUUGUGGCAUGAAAGCUAAACAUUCAUGAAUUUAGCAUGAGAGAGAGAAAGUGUAACAUCUAGAAAAAAAAAAAAAAAAAGAAGAAGAAGAAACCUGUAAGCCAAACAUUCAUUAUUCCAUUCAUUCUUCCCCCUCUUCCCUUAGAUUCUCUUCAAAAAUCUGAUUUUGGGAUGAGUUGUUCAUCUAUUUGGGGUGAGUCACCUAGUCUAGGUUAAGGAUAUUAAUUUCUUAAACAAAGAUAAGAUUGGGGAUGAAGGGGAUGAAGGAAAUGAAAUUUGGGUGAGGCAGAGAAUGGAGAAUAGGGGGAAGAGAAGAAAAAAUUCUCUAAGGUGAGUCAAUUUAGAAUUUGUGAUUUUUAACUUUGUGUUUGUGUGUUUCUAGUGCCUUAAAGAGUAUUUUGAGUCAUUUGAGUGAUGGGGAAAUUGAAUUGGAAGAGUUUGAAUUUCUAUUUUUGGGUAGGGUGCGUAGAGUAAUUUUUCAAGUGUGGGUGUUUAUGAUUUCGGUUUCAUUUUGAGUUUUUUUAUGAGUUUUAAUGAUAGGUAUGAACUUUAGAAGAGUUUUAGAAGCUAUAGGAACAACUUGGAAGUGAUAGAAUGGUUAAAAACAACUUAGAACCAAAUCUGAAAAUUUGGAUUUUCUGGAAAUUUGCAGUCCUCGAGCCUUAUUUUGGCUCUAUUUUUCUCCCAAUCCUUUGAGUGUUUGAGGAAGACAUUUGUUGGGUUUUAAACUAGACUUGGCAAGGAACAAAACACAAUCGGUUUUGUGGAAUUUGGUUGAGUUUUUAUAGGUCAAACACAUGUGCAUAGUUUGGAAAACAAAUCUGUUUUCUGCAAAAAAAACAGCCACGAGUCCAACUUUGGAGCUAGUUUUCUCAUUCGUUUUAUCUCCUUUUGAGUAUGGUUUGUUGGGUUAGAAACUAGAGGAAAUAAGCUUCAAAACCACUACAAGUUUGCCCAAUUUUGUUAACGUUUGGCUGGUCAAAAUGUCUCACAAAGUCUGAAUUUUUAAUCUGGAAAAACGGGAAGUUGCAGAUUUUUAGGGAAGAUGAUGAACAGUAACCGAAAACAAGCCCACUCGCCACUAGCGGACCUAGUAAGGCGUAAGGAGGUGCAGAUGCACCUUCCCUCGCCGUAAAACCAUUGUAUGUGCUUUGCCCCUUUGCUCAACUGGUGUACAGAUUACCUUAUUUUCAUUUUCAACAUUUAAGUAAAUGUCUUUGUCCUUUUACUUUUAUAUAUUUUUAUAUUACUCAAUUUACUUAAGUUUACAAUGUAAAUAAGGAAGUACUCCCCAUUUGAAUUCAAAUAAAAAUACUAGAAAAUCAAAUUCCCACCAAAUCAAAAUAUGAAAAUUCGAUUUUAGUGCAAAAUAUGAUUUAGGCUAAAAAUGAUAGCCUAAAUCAAGUUUUCUAUUUGAUGUGUAAGGAAUAAAAGCCACCAAAAAUUAUCUUGAGAAAAUGAUUAUUCCGAAAAACCAUUUUUCAUACGUACUCAAUAUUACACCUCCGCUAAAAAAUUUCUGGGUCCGCCAGCGCCACUCGCGGCUCCAGUGAGUGGCGGCACGUGGUGGCUGUUUCGGCAGCCUCCGACGCCAUAUUUUUAGUCCAUUCGACUCGAUUUCUCAAUUUGCGUUCAAUGGUAUAUGUUUUGAGUCAAUCCAUGGUGGUGCAAAGUAUGGAUUGUUGUGGGGCCCACGAGACCCAAACUAGUAACUUUUGGAUAACGGGUGUAGUUGGCCUUUUUUCGGUAUUGACAGGGCAUAGGACAGAGUUUUAGAUUAUUUUGGACGAGAUUUGGCCUCUUUGGACCCCGGGUUGGUCCUAAGGGCAUUUUCGUCAUUUUCACGCAAAAUCUUUGAAAUGCAUAAAGUUGAGGUUGGACUUAGGUGAAAUAAAGUGAAGAUUACUCAAUAAUAAUUUGGAUUUGAAUUUGUUCAGGAAUUAGAUCAAAAGUGUAGAUUCGACAAUUCCGAGAAUCUCCGAAGGGUAAAUUUGGUACUUUAGCUAGUUGGACAUGAGGUAGGGUUUCCUGAUUCCCGAUGAUUGGGCUAUAUCCCUUUUAAUCUUGGUGCUUAUAUAUAAUACUAUAAAUAUGAAUAUUAUUGUUGCUUUACUCGGUGAAUAUUAUUUGAUGUUAUGUGAAUAUUAUUAUUGAUGUUCCUCCAUGGAUAUUAUUUUUUAUGUUGGAUGAAUAUAAUUAUUCAUGUGAUUAAGCCUAAUAUAUAUUAUUGUUAUUAUUUGUGUUAUUAUUCUGCAGAGAUAAAUGAGGUUUGCACUGCAUUACAUAUGCAUCAUAAAGAUAGUGGUGUUUGGGGGUGUGUGUGUGUCGUUUGAGGUAUAUCUAAGGGGUGGGAGAAGGCCUUAAAUAUAUCUGAGUAAUAAAAAUGUGAAAUAAAUUCAAGUGAUGGGAGUAGGACUUGAAUAUUGAGGUGAUGGGAGCAGGGCCUCUAAUGAAAAGUGAAAGUUGAGAAAUUCGUAAACAAAAGAAAACUGGGUUAAGGGAUGGAUGGGCGCUAGUUCAUAUUUUAAGGGUAUUCGGAGCCACAAUGGUAACAUGCAUGGUAUGGGACAUGCAGGCUUGUUGCCCUAAGGUAUGAAUUAGUAGGAUUAGAAGGGAGUGAGUUCAUGGCAUCACUGCAUAUGCAAAUUUAUUUAUCUAGUAUGGUUGUAUAAUUUCUGUAUCUUGUGUUGUUUGUUGUAUGACACUUUGAUUAACUAUGAUAGUUGACCUUGAGGGGUUUGACAGUACUCUAUUGGGUAUUAGAAUGCUCAUACCCUAAUAGAUUGUGCAGGAUUCAAGGUGAAGUUUGAGGAAACGGGUUUCAACCAAGCUACUAAACUUUUGUUGUUGAUUUGUGUAAUUAAUAAUUGUAAGUAGUCAACCAUUUGAUAAAGAUCUUAGUGUGUAUUUAACUACGAGCUACUGCGACUCUGAUUCUGUGUUAAGUAAAUUUGUAUUCAUUUGUGGCUCUUUUUCUCAUUAUAUCAUGAUUGUAGGAUUUUAUUCUUAUGACUAUGGUAUGACUCACACCCUGAUUCGGGAAUAUUCCUUAUUUUCGAAUCGGGUCGUGACAGAAAGACCAGGUUUUCUACGAGAAACAGAGGUUAAAGCAAAGGAUUUCGUGAGAAUUUGCUUAGGAGAACUGCAAAUUCUACUAAUCUCCACAGUAAGGCUAUUAUUAACAUUUGGAGAGUAGAAAAUUUGAGACUUCUCAAAACUUAUAACCUGGCUAGAAGCUAGGCAAAAUCUAUCAAGACAUCUGAUUGGGGGUGGUGAAAAUUCACCUAACCCGAGCACCUUUCGAAAAAACAAGCUCCGAGCAUGAAGAAUGGCAGCCGGGCUUAAGGAGUUGCAGCCAGGCUUGAGUAGCGACCGGCCUGAAGAAGUAUCACGGCCGACCUUGGAGAAGUUUGGCGGUCGGGUCUUGGAGUUUUCGAGAAGAACGGUCGGGCGUGAAGUUUGGCCACCGGGAAAGAAGUUUGGCAGCCGAGUCUCCAAGAGCUUGGCUGCCGAGUUUGCAUCAGCUGGAAGUUGGAGUGGCAGCCGGGCUUGGAGCAGCUAGAAUCUAGAAGAGCUGCAGCCGGGCUUCUAGUGGCCGAGGCCAUUGGAGCUAGAGUGGCCGGAACCCAGAGCUGGUGCUGGGCUGAAGAAAUCCGGAUUGUACUCAAUGCAAUCGGUUUGUGGCUUUGAGGAGCUGUAACAUUACAGCUGGAAAAGUAUGGUUAGAGAGAUUUUAGUUGGAGUACUCUUUAGUUUAUAUAUAUAUAUAUAUAUAUAAUAAAAGUGAGUGGCCAUUUAAUAGGGUUGGAGGUUUGAAAGUAAUUUGGGCCUUUAGAACUCAAGAGCUCAAAUCUCAUGAGGGUCAGCCCCAUAUAAUUCCAUGGAGCCCAGAGGUCCAAGCCUAAGCCACGGAAUCACGCCCAAGAUUUCCAGACGUCAGUGUGCACGUGACGGAAGGCCUCACAAAGAAAGAAAUCAAAGAGGUUGAUGACAAUUCAAAAUUUUCUAAAACGAGAGAAAAUCAAGCAACCAUAAUAUCUCUGCCAACGUGAUUCAUAGCUAGAAAGGAAAGAAUUUUAAAAGAGUUGAAAUUUGGCCAUUCAAUGGCUAGCUCAUGCCAAUGGGCACCCUAUAUAAACCUCACCAAACGAAGGUAGAAGACACACAUCAUUAGACACAUAAAUCUAUUUUUCGUCUCACACUUUUCUUUUCCUAGAUUUAGGGUUUUACUUUUCAAGCGCCUAGUGUAGCGAGUUCUUCCUUUUUUCUAGUGUAAGUUUAAAUUCUUGUUCAAUUUACAUUCCUUGUCUUUUAAAUUCUAGUUUGUUUCAAUUGCUUUACUUUUCAUUGUUAUCGCACUUUCAUUAAGUUUAAUUUCAAGUUUAAUUUAGUUUGUCGUUCUUAUUGUUCUUAUUUCUUUCUUGUUUAUUUAUCACCUUGAUAUAUUUUAUCAUACUUUAAUUCUCGUCUUUACAUUAUUUAUUUUACGCACUUUACUUUACUCAUUUAUCUUUAAAUUAUAUUUAAAUUUAAGCAGCUUUACUUUAUGCACUUGUUCUUCGUUUCAUUACGUUGACCUUCAAUCUUCAUCUUCACACACUCCACGUCCUUUGGUUGCUCACAUAAAGGCUUGACCCCGAAGUAGUGAAAGAACUUAUGCCAUGAGGAGGUUCUUUGCUCGGCCGAACAAUCGUUUGAUUAAAGUCAGAUCUCGGACACAACAUGCACUCACAUUCCAUUCAAGCCAAAUUCGUGGCUUGGUGGUAGCACGCCCUGCACUCAAAAAAGAAGAAGGACCAAAAGUUCCUUCCAUCGGCCGCCUUGGCCGAAAAGAGGGAAACAACAUUGCUUCAUCACUCUAGCCUGUCUUGUACUAGCUUUAGCAAAAAAGAGCAGAUCAUCCGCAAAACACAGGUGGGAGAUCUUAGGGCCAUUUCUAGAGAUAUUUCCUAAAAUAUGAGAAUUAUGAGAGAAUAUUUCUUUGUGGGUAUUUUCUAUGUAUUCUUCUCCUUGUAGGAGGUCAUAUUUAUAAUACAACGAAACCUGAAUGGGCAAGUAAAUAAUAAAUUCCUAAAUCUAUUUAGAGUAGGAAAUUAUGAAUUAAAGUAAAUCAAUUACAAUUAUAAUGGGAAUUCUUGGUGUGUAAGGAAAGUAAGUCAAUAGUCCAGAAGUCACGCCAACACUCCCCCUCACGUUGGUGCAUAGAUGUCGCCAAUGCCCAACUGAUCCAGUGAAUUGUGGAAUACUUUACUGAAAAUUGCCUUUGUCAAAAUAUCUGCCAAUUGAUCCUCGGAUAUUUUGACAAAGUGUCGAUCCACGAAAAGAAACUGAAACACUUUAGCCUCAAGCUUUUGUUUGAUAAAGUGUCGAUCCACCUGUGUUUUGGUGUGUAAGGAAAAUAAGUCAAUAGUCCACAAGUCACGCCAACAAUAUUGACAGCUCUCCACUCUUUCUUGACAACAGCCUCACUAAUCAUGUGAGAAAGUUUCUCAAGACACCAAAAACAAAUACGGUGACAGGGGAUCCCCCUCUGUCUCACUCCUCUUGCAGGAACAAAAGGCGGGGUAGCUUCACCAUUCACAAGAAUCUGGAACUAAACCGUGGAGACACAUUGCAUGAUCAAUUGGAUUGUAGACUUAUGAAGAUUGAUCUCUCUAAGAACAUACUCCAGAAAAUUUCAGUUCACUCUGUCAUAAGCUUUAAAGAUGUCAAUUUUCCAAGUGAUAAAACCUUUUUUCACUCAAAGAAAAAACAAACUUCCACUCUCUCUCUCUCUCUCUCUCUCUCUCUCUCUCUCUCUCUCUCUCUCUCUCUCUCUGUAUAUCAGGUUCUACAUUUCUCAGGAAGCUAUUAACUUGUUAUUAAAUGGUUCCUUGGGAUUGAUAUUCCAAAAUAGUUUAACAUCCUUUCCUGCCUUAGCAAUCAUAUUUCACACACUAAUGCAUGUUUUUCAGCGUGAUGUGGUAUUAGUUGAACUUCAAUAUUACAGAACUCUUGGUUCAUGCUCAUCACUGAACCUGAAACCUAGGAGUUUUUGUUUGGGAAUGUAACCAGGAAGAUCAAAAUAUACCAAACUUUUGCUCAUCAGGUAAAUAAAUUGUGUAGCUCUUAUUCUUGUUAUUAACUGUUAAAUUAAAAUCUCCACGUCAUCCUGUUUUUUUUUUUUUUUAACUGUUUGGUAACACCACUUUGCCAUCCAUAAACUAUAACUAUUCUUCUCCCUAAGGGAAUUUUACUAGGAAAUUAACCAUCUGGUAUGUAAAUCAUGUUUCAGAGUUCACAUUUAAACACAACCUUUAAACUUGGACAAUAAAUUAUAGGACCGUUGCCAAUGACCCGACGCCAUCUAUAACAAGUGUGGCUUGAACUGUUCUUGAAUUAGAAAGCAAAUUUAAAAAGCUCCAUUACUUAGCAUGUAAGUUAUGUUUCAGAGUUCAAUUGGAAAAAAUUAUGCUAUCGUUGGCAACUGUCCCUUGCCAUCUAUAACAAUCCAGGCUUGAACUUUUGUUGAAUUUAGGAAGCAAUUUAAUUAGCUUCACUACUCAAAAUGCAAAUUAUGUUUUUAAAUUUCAAAUUCAAACAUUAGGAAGCAAUUGAAUAAAUUAUGUGGCUGUUGCAACGGUCCCCUGCCAUAUUCGAUAUCUUCCAUUUUUAUCAUCUAUGACUUGAAAAGGCAUAACAGGGUAAUUAAGCUAACUCUAGUAUAAAUCUGCUCAAUUGUUCAAGUUAUCCAUCAUUGUGUGUUUGCUAAACCACAGCCUUAUUCAGUCGGGACAAUAAGAAAUAUGGCUGCAGCCCCUUCCCCAAGGAUGCUAAUCACUAAUAAGGGACCAUGUGUCCGCUACAUUGCUUGGACUCCACCCUUGAAUGGUUUCUGGAGGCUCAGCUUCACAGGUCAUUACAAGCACGAAUCAAAGACUGCUUCAGUCGGUUGCAUUAUGAGGGAUCACAAUGCUGUAUUUAAAGCUGCCUUUGAAUUAGGAGUGUGAGGCUCCGACAUGUCAACAUGUAUGGUAAUUUGGCUGCGAACUUGCUCGCGAGAAUUCCUUUGCAGCCUCAACAAGAGAGGUCUUGGUCCAGAACAAAUAAGUGGAAUUCUAGUGAGGGAUGUGAUCGGUCGUUGGAUACCUUUCUCAGACCUAUGAGUGAGUCAUCAUUUGGAUGACACAGAAGGACUUCGUAGACUUGUUUCUUCAAGGAAAAAUCUGUUAAGUUGCUUUUCCUUUUUGCUAAGUAGCAGUUUGCUUAGUAAUGAUUGUGAAAAGCCUUUGAUUUUUCUAAUCUCUUCCUUAAAGAAUUAAGAUGUGUGAACAUGUAACUACUAAGAACGAAAGUCAUCUGCUUAAUCUCACAUUUAAUUUUCCUUUUCUUCCUUCGUAGUUUACUUGUAUUCGCUGACCUUUCCGGUACUAACCAUGACCCCUAUCUGUCAAAACCAAGUUCAAAUAAGGGAGAAUUUUUAAGGGGAUAGAUUGAUGACUUUUGGGGGAGUUUUUUCUUAGUAAAACUUUUGUGGUUUUACUCAAUAACCAAGUUACUUUUUUUACUCGAUUUGGAUUUUUGCCUAUUUUGUCUAGAACCAAUUACGUUUGACAGGGAAACAAUUAUUAAAUAUUUCUUAGUCCAGUAGUACUUCUCUUCUCAAUAUUAAAAGAGAGUCGAAGUUUGAAUCCCUUCCCUAUAAACCAAAAAAAUGAUUAUUCCUGAAGCACUGACACUUUCUCAAGACUAAGCAUAUGAUAUGCGAAAUUACUUACUGACUAGGAUCUUGAUUUCUUAAGAACAAAAUGGAAAUUAAAAACCCAAAAAGCAAAAAAAAAAAAAAAAAAAAAAAAAAAAAAAAAAAAAAAAGAAGAAGAAAAAGUUAGCUGGGAGAUUAUCUGGGCGUUAAUAGAACCAAGCCAGUGGGCCAAAUCAAUCAUAUUAGAUUAUUUUGGGCCUGGGCCCGAUUAAAAAAGAUUUGGUCAGACACAUCACGUUUGUUUUUGGCCGUUGGACAUCAUAUUCAGAUGUUAUUAUAGUCAAAAGACUUUAAGAAAACACUAACACCCAAGCCAACGGUAACUUUCUUGUCUCUGUCUUCUCCUUCCCCUUUCUGUCUUCCCCUUUGCUGCUCCAAAUUCCAAUUAAAACCCCAAAACCAAACUUCACCAACACAAAAGUUCUUAGCUUUACAUCACAAAUGGCAUUAAAAGAAGCAGCUUCACUCACUUCACUGAAACAACAAGAACAAGAAGAAGAAGAAGAAAGAGAGAGGUUCAUAGUUUUGAGCAGCACUUGCAAAGUGGUGGAGUAUUUACAGCCAGUGAUGUCAAAAGAGCUUCUCUGCAAGUUUCCAGACAACUCUGCUUUCGAUUUUGACUACACUCAGAGUUCAAUAUGGUCCCCUUUGGUCCCUCGAGCUCAUGCUCCCAUGGAUUUGGACUUGGAUUUCGAUUUCAUGACGCCAAGGAAGCUCAAUUUCGAGAUGGGGUUGGAGUUGGAAAGUCAAAGCAGCAUCAAGAAAGUCAGUUCUAGUAUUAAGAAGAAGAUCUCCACCGCUGGAUUUAAUAUUAGCAGGAGUGCGUUGAAGAACAAGAAGAAGAAGAAGAAGAAGAAGAAGAGCAAGAUGGCAUUGGCUUCUGAUUUCUCUCCAACUCCUGUUAAGGUUCAUUGUAACCCCUUAGCCUCAAAGGUACUGCCUUUUUCAUCUGGGUUCUUAGAUCUUUCUUUUUUAUUUAUUUAUUUUAUAUACAUAUUUUUAUAAGCUGAAAGAAUCUGGGUUAGAGCACAAGGUUUAGAUCACUGAAUCUGAGAUUACCCUUUUGAGAUUUUCUCUGAAAAUGAUCUCAAUUUACAAGCUAUUUGAAGUAAAAAUAUGAAAUUUUUGGGGAAAGAGAUGAGAAUUUAAGGCAACCCAUAAAGAUGCAGUUGUUAGCAUCAAAGUUUUGGGAAUUUGUUUUCUGCUUUAGCGCCAAUUUCUCUGUUUUGCAGGGGAAGAACUUAGAACUAAAAUCAAUCUGGUGACUGGAUUUCUAACAUAUGAAGGUUCUGUCAUUUGUGUUCAGGUAUGGAAUAAGGUGCUAAAAGCUGCCUCUAAACAUUUCAAGAAAAAGAAGAGAGAUCCCAUGGACCAUGUGAGGCUCUCCAAUUAUCUGAGAGAUGGAAAUAUUUGAAGGCUUCCCCCAUUUGUAAUUCUUUUUUGUUUCAUUAAUUUAUUUAUUCAUUUAAUUGUCUUUUUAACCUGCAUUCUCAUUAACAGCAACAUUAUUAGCAUUUGGAGUUAAACAUUCCUCCAAAACAUUUAUGCCACUUAGAAAGAGAUUUAGUUAGAGCGGAUGUAUUUUGCACUUGGGUUUAAAUCCCUAAUUACAGAUUAGAUUAAAGUAGAACGUAAGAUUUACUCAAGCAAAGCAAACCACGCAUUCAUAAAAGUCUGCACUAAAAUUGUGACCCUGCACACAAAAUCAACUGCUUUAAUUAGAACUUGCCAACAUAACCUCAAUCAAGCUUUCAAAUGAAGCAGAUGAAGACCCCCCAUUACCAACAGCCCUCCUACACGCUCCACUCAUCUCCUGCACCUUCUUCCUCAGCUCAUCAUUACCGUCCAUCACACACCUCACAGCCCUCUCAAUCUCAUCAGCCACCACAAAAUGAUCUACACCGUCCUUUCUGUAGUUCAAUCUCAGCUCCACAGCCAGCCCCAAGUCCCUCACCAUCUGAAACGCAUUGAUCUGCUGCUCCGCAUACAGAGGCCAAGUCACAACAGGCACCCCAUGCCACAGGCUCUCCAUUAUUGAGUUCCAACCACAGUGUGACACGAAGCCCCCCACCGCCCUGUGGGCCAGGAUCUCCACCUGUGGGGCCCACCCACAUAAAAUCCCGACCCCACUGGUCCUCUCCAAGAACCCUUGAGGCAGAAACUCCUCGUGACUUGUGUGCUCCUCUAGCACCACAAACUUGCCCUUGGGCGGGUCUUUGCGCACGGACCACACGAACCUCUGCUUACUCUGCUCUAAGCCAAUAGCAAUCUCUCUCAGCUGGGCCUCAUCAAAGCUCCCAGAGCUCCCAAAGCAGAGGAACACCACUGAUCUUAAAGGCUGAUCGUCAAGCCACAUCAUGACUUUGUCAAAUUUGCUCUGAUGAUCAGAAUGCUGCGCAGGAUGCUCGCCUAUCAGGGGCCCAACUGUGUAAACAGGAGGGGUUUCACCAUCCGAAAGUGAGCCAACCGCAUGGGAUUCGAGCUGAAAAAUUGUGUUAACGAUUAUACCCUUCGUUUCCUUGAACCUCCUGGCAUGGUUUGCGAAGGAAAUGUACCCUUCGCUGCUGAAAGCAAAUGAAGGAAUUACGCUUGCAGGAACAGGGUUGACAUAACUCGGUACCACUGACUCGGAGUCCGAUUCUUUAAACACCGUGCCGACUCGGUCGUAGCGGCUCGAAAGGUGGAGCAGGAAGCCGAGAAAGCCAGCACCAGAAGUGAAGAACAGAAAUGAUGGAACCUUGAGUUCGUUGGCCACGUCGAUCAUGGUGGUGCAGAACAUAUCAACCACUAAACCAGAAACAGAGCAACUGGGCAAGACAUGGCUGGCUAUGGCUUCUCUCACAUGGUUCUUGUAGCCCUCUAUGUAGACUGUGAUGUAUUUUUCCACAGACUGUUGAAGAAACUCAAGUGGGCGGUUCACAGUGGGAAGGUCUAUGAUUUUGAUGUGGCCGUGGGAGACAGCAAGCGAUUGUGCGCUGGUGUUUGAGUUCAGAGUAGCAGAGGGUUCAAAUGGAGGUUUCAUGACCAGGAUUGUGAUUGAGAAUCGAUCACAGACAUCCAAUAAUCGUUUCGAAAACUCUAUUGCUGAUACAAGAUGGCCAACGGCCGGUGUGGGAACGAAAACCAGCUCUGCUCUCUUCAUGUUUUGUGCUGCUUUGUUUGCUCACUCUGUUGCUUUCUUGAUGGUGCAUGUUUGACAUAUAUUGAGAGCACUUGAGGUGGAUGAAGGAUGAUUGACGUCUUUCAAUUUUAUGUGGUGUAGGCCAACUCUGAGAAUAUAAAAAAAUUCCUUGUCAAAAAACAGAAGAGAGAGAGAGAGAAAUUCCCAAUGAUAAUGAGGCAUGUAAUGUGGGCUCACCGAAUCUAAGAUGAUUGUUUAAUGAAGGGAUCCGAGGUGGAUAAUGAGGCAAUCGGUCAAACUAAUCAAUUGCAUUCAUCAAUGAUAAUGAGGCAUGUAAUGUUGUCAAACUAAUAACAUUCUUCCUACUUAUCCACCACGGUGUCUUGUUAAUUAGAUGAUUGGUUUGGUUGUGUGGUGUUGUUUAAUUUAAGUCAUCGCAUUCAUCAAGCACAAGUAGUCACGAGAUUGAUUCGUGGUCCAUAAAACGCAGCCACCACCAAAGGAUGUGAUUGAUGACAUUAAUGUGAUUUGCUCAUAGUUUAUAAAACGGACUGUGCUUUUCAAUUUUUAAAAAAAUCACUUAUAAUCUCAAAAAAACAAUAAUAAAGUAGGCAUUUUGAACGAAAAUACCGCAAAAUUGCAUUUACCGAUCGCAUUUUAACCUCAUAAUUGACAUCGUCAAAACCCACCACAAAAUUAAAUAUUAUAUUUAAAAUAUAUAAUAUACAAUUCAAGAAUUAAAAAAAAUAAAAAAGAUAGCCAUUUGUUGGGCAUGCCAACACUCAUGCAUUGCUUAUGCGCCAAACCAAAGCCUGUUUUUUUCUUUAUUUUUUUAUUUUUUAUUUUUUACUUCUUUUUCUUCUCCCUCUCUCUAUUUUUUUCGAUCUCUCUUUUCUUUCUUUUUCCUUCUCCUCUUCUUUUCUCUUUCUAUUUUUCCUACUUCUUCCUCUCUCCGUCGCUUUCCAUCUCUCAUCUCUAACUUCUUCUCUACCUCUAUCUUUCUUUCUUUCUUCCUCUUUCUUCCUCUCUAUGUCUGUUUCCAUCUCUUCUCUCCCUCUUUCUUUUUUUUUAGGCCUAGUUAGGGUGGUGGAUUUUCUGGGAUUGCUUGGAUUGUUUAGGCCCAAAACAACACAAUCGGUGGAUACCGUUGUGGACAUUGACCGAUUUGCGAUUCCACCGAGUUGCGAUUAACCUCAACUCUUUGGCUGGUUUGCGAUCUCAAAUAAUGCAAUACCGCGAUUUCUCGGGCGGUUUGCGAUUUACAUGAAAUUUUGAGGUUACAGUACCACAUCCACCCCUAAGUUAGUUUUGGGGGAGAGAAAGAGAGAUCGAGAGAGAUCAUCUUCUUCUUUGGUCCAAGCUACUUUUUCUCAGCAAGGAGAUCUUCCCAUUUAAUUAAAAACUAAAUCUUUUUAUGAAAAAAAGUAGAAGAAAAAGUAGAAGAAGUAGCUACUAAAGGUGUUGUUCUUCUAGUUGUUUAUAUUCUUUGUUAUGUUGUGGAAAUUAGAAGGAAGAAGGAUAAAGGAGCGGAGAGCGACUGGGGAAGUCGCUUGGGCUGGUGUUGCUAGGGAGAGUUGGAUCUGAGUAGGGUUUUUUUUUUUUGUUUUUUGUUUUGUUUUUUUAUAUUUUUUUUAUAUAUAAUUUUAUUUUUAAAGCAUAGAGAAGAAAGAUUUUUUAUUAUUAAUUUUUCCAAUAUAUAUAUAUAAUUAAACAAGUAAUUACAUUAUUUUAUUAUAUAUUUAAUUCAGUUUAAACAAAAAAAAAAGGGUCAUUCACAUGACACAUCAUCACUUGUUGUAAAAAGAUUAAAAUACCCAUGUCACGUCAUCAAAAUUAACAGAGUUAUAAUAGAGAUAACGGAAGGGGAUAAAGUGGAACACGAAAUCACGAUCAAGGGGGGUUAAGUAGGUCAUUUUAAUUUGGGAAGAUAAAAUGAGAUUUGACCGAAGUUUCAGGGAGUACUGCAAUAAAUAGGCCAUUCUCUUAAGCAAAAUAUAAUUCUUUAUUUUUUUUCUUUUUGAAAACAUAAUCUAUAUAUAGAAAUCAAAAGGCAGAGAAUGGUGAAACAUUCAAAAUACCAGAAAAUGCCCUUGGUUAAUGCAAACAUUAAGAAUUCAAAUUAUUAAUUAAAUGAGGAUAAUAUGGUAAAUUCACACUUUUUCAUAUUUAAAAAAAUUAAAAGAAAAAGAAAAAACAGAUAAUAGAUCCUAUUUUUAUGGAACACAAC
rnacentral:lncRNA from 1 species